UACGUAGGAGGCGAGCGUUGUCCGGAAUCACUGGGCGUAAAGCGCGUGUAGGCGGGAAGGCAAGUCUGCUGUGAAAACCCGGGGCUCAACCCCGGGCCUGCAGCCGAUACGGGCAGACUAGAGUUCGGCAGGGGAGACUGGAAUUCCUGGUGUAGCGGUGAAAUGCGCAGAUAUCAGGAGGAACACCGGUGGCGAAGGCGGGUCUCUGGGCCGAUACUGACGCUGAGGAGCGAAAGCGUGGGGAGCGAACAGG
rnacentral:rRNA from 1 species